rnacentral:rRNA from 1 species
CUGGUAAUUGGAAUGAGUACAAUCUAAACCCCUUAACGAGGAUCCAUUGGAGGGCAAGUCUGGUGCCAGCAGCCGCGGUAAUUCCAGCUCCAAUAGCGUAUAUUUAAGUUGUUGCAGUUAAAAAGCUCGUAGUUGGACCUUGGGUCGACCGUCCGCCUCGCGGUGGUGCACUGUCGGUGUCCUUCUGCCCGGCGAUGCGCUCCUGGCCUUAACUGGCCGGGUCGUGCUCCGGCGCUGUUACUUUUGAAGAAAUUAGAGUGCUCAAGCAAGGCCUAACGCUCUGGAUCACAUUAGGCAUGGAUAAACAUCAUAGGAUUUCGGCCUAUUGUGUUGGCCUUCGGAUCGGAGUAAUGAUUAACAGGGACAGUCGGGGCAUUUCGUAUUUCAUAGUCAGAGGUGAAAUCUGAUUUAUGAAAAGACGAACAACUGCGAAAGCAUUUGCCAAGAAUGUUUUCAUUAAUCAACGAACGAAAGUGGGGGCUCGAAGACGAUCAAUACGUCCUAGUCUCAACCAUAACGUGCCGACAGGGAUCGGCGGAUGUUUGCUUUUAAGGACUCCGCCGGCACUUAUGAGAAAUCAAAGUUUUGGGGUUCCGGGGGGAGUAAUGCGUCGCAAGGCUGAAACUUAAAGGAAUUGACGUGAAGGGCAACCCCCAGGAAGUGGAGCCUGCGGCUUAUUUGACUCACACGGGGAACUUACAGGUCCAGGACAUAGGGUAGGAUUGACAGACUGAGAGCUCUUCCUUGAUUCUAUGGUUGGUGGUUGCUGGCCGUCCUUAGUUGGGUGGAGCGAUUUGUCUGGUUUAUUCCGUUAAACGAACGAGACCUCAGCCUGCUAACUAGCUAUGCGGAGGUGACCCUCCGCGGCCAGCUUCUUAGAGGGACUAUGGCCUUUUAGGCCAAGGAAGUUUGAGGCAAUAACAGGUCUGUGAUGCCCUUAGAUGUUCUGGGCCGCACGCUCGCGCUACACUGAAUGUAUUCAACGAGUUCUAUAGCCUUGGCCGACAGGCCCGGGUAAUCUUUGAAAUUUCAUCGUGAUGGAGGAUAGAUCAUUGCAAUUGUUUGGUCUCAACGAGGAAUUCCUAGUACGCGGUCAUCAGCUCGCGUUGACUAACGUCGCCCUUUGUAGCACACCGCCCGUCGCUCCUACCGAUGAACUGGUCGGUGAAGUGUUUCGGAUCGCGGCGAGUGGGCGGAGUUGCCGCCGGCGACAGUCGCGAGAAGUCACUGAACCUUAAUCAUUUAGAGGAAGGAGAAGUCGUAACAAGGUUUCCGUAGGUGAACCUGCGGAAG